GGAUGUGACGGUGAUCUGGCUGUGACAUCUGACACCCCACUGAUCUCCAGGGUUGAUUGGGCUGAGCUGGCUGGCUAGGGAGGUGUCCCCUUCCUCCCUCACUACUCCUCCAUGUGAGUCCCUCCCAAAACCGCAACCACCGCUGAUAGAGGAGGACAGUUUCCUGGUCAAGGGUAUUCGAGUAGCUGUGCUGCCCUGCUAGAACCUCCAAGCAAGCUCUCAAAAUAUAUUUUAUCUAAAAAGUAGCAAAAUGUGGGCUAGGGAAUUAGCUCAAU
rnacentral:snRNA from 1 species